AAGAACCUUACCAGGUCUUGACAUCCUUCUGACCGUUCCUUAACCGGGACUUUCCUUCGGGACAGAAGAGACAGGUGGUGCAUGGUUGUCGUCAGCUCGUGUCGUGAGAUGUUGGGUUAAGUCCCGCAACGAGCGCAACCCCUAUCUUCAGUAGCCAGCGGUACGGCCGGGCACUCUGGAGAGACUGCCAGGGAUAACCUGGAGGAAGGUGGGGACGACGUCAAAUCAUCAUGCCCCUUAUGAUCUGGGCGACACACGUGCUACAAUGGCGGUUACAGAGUGAGGCGAACCCGCGAGGGGGAGCGAACCACAAAAAGGCCGUCCCAGUUCGGACUGUAGUCUGCAACCCGACUACACGAAGCUGGAAUCGCUAGUAAUCGCGAAUCAGAAUGUCGCGGUGAAUACGUUCCCGGGUCUUGUACAC
rnacentral:rRNA from 1 species